rnacentral:rRNA from 1 species
UACGUAGGGGGCUAGCGUUGUCCGGAAUCAUUGGGCGUAAAGAGCGUGUAGGCGGUCUGGUAGGUCCGUUGUGAAAACUCGAGGCUCAACCUCGAGACGCCGAUGGAAACCCUCAGACUAGAGUCCGGAAGAGGAGAGUGGAAUUCCUGGUGUAGCAGUGAAAUGCGCAGAUAUCAGGAAGAACACCCGUGGCUAAGGCGGCUCUCUAGUACGGUACUGACGCUGAGACGCGAAAGCGUGGGGAGCGAACAGG